GAUGAACGCUGGCGGCGUGCCUAAUACAUGCAAGUCGAGCGGAAAGACGAGGAGCUUGCUCCUCUGACGUUAGCGGCGGACGGGAGAGUAACGCGUGGAUCCUCUACCUAUAAGACUGGGAUAACUACGGGAAACCGGCGCUAAUACCGGAUAAUAUCUUGCACCGCAUGGUUCAAUAGUGAAUGUCGGUUUUGGUGUAACUUCUAGAUGGUUACGCGCCGCAUUAGCUAGUUGGUAAGGUAACGGCCUACCACGGCAACGAUGCGUAGCCGAGCUGAGAGGGGGGUCGGCCACACUGGAACUGAGACACGGUCCAGACUCCUACGGGAGGCAGCAGUAGGGAAUCGUAGGCAGUGGGCGAAAGCCUGACGCAGCGACGCCGCGUGAGUGAUGAAGGUCUUCGGAGCGUAAUACUCUGUUAUUAGGGAAGAACAAAUGUGGAAGUAGCUAGGGACGGCUUGACGGUACCGAAUCAAAAAGCAACGGCUAACUACGUG
rnacentral:rRNA from 1 species